UUUGGGUACGAGAAACUGAAGAGAAUAGAGUUCUUGGAGAGCAUCAACCAGAUUGAAGCAAUUUCCUUCUCUAACUCUGCCCUCACUCUCCUCUCCCUUUAGAGUUUGGAAAACCUUAACUCUGCCCUCCCCUUUCUUUUUGAUUUCAGAUACAGAGGCAUUCAGAGAAGAGAAGCAGCUAAGGUUUCCAUCCAACUUCAAUCCCUGCCAUUCUCAUUCUCUUCCUCUGCAGCAAAUUUCCUACGCCUGCUUCCGCCGCCGCGACCUGCUUUCGCCGCCGCCGCCGCGCCCUGCUUCUGUACGCAUAUUCAGAGGAAGUGGGAGAAGAAUCAGAUGAUGAAGAAGCUCAGUCUUUAACAAAGGGAAAGCAUGAAGGUCAAGGUGGUGAACUAAGUAUGGUCAAGCAAGAAAAGAAUGUCGGAAGGGACGCACACUUGGAUGUAGAUAACGAGUCAGAGGAGGAGGAGGAGGACAAACGGGAAUAAGCUCUUAAUAGGUCUCUUUUAGCACACUUGUCCUUCUUUCUCAUUUGGAUUUUUCGUCUUACACUUGUGCCAGAAGUCCACAACCCGUCAGAAAGAGGCGUUGUAAAAUUUUGUUCAUUUGUACUGAUAAAGCUGAUGAAUCAGGGCCAAUCAUACUUCAUCUGGAUUCUUUGAGUCUUCACUCUAGCAUAUCACUAUUUGAUAACAUCAAAAGCCAAAGGAAUACAUGCAAAUUGCGGAAAAAGCAGCAUUAUUUAUUAAGAAAGAACUUCACAAUGUUGAAACCUAAAGGCUGAACCAUAGUUUCAGAAAUUCUCCAUCUAAAGCACCUGGUUUCUUGGAUGAUUAUGCUUUUCUGAUCUCUAGAUUACUGGAUCUCUAUGAGUUUGGUGGUGGAAUCAACUGGCUUCAAUGGGCAAUUGAAUUGCAAGGUACUCAGGAUGCUUUGUUUCUUGAUGGGGAUGGAGGUGGAUAUUUCAAUAAUACUGGAGAAGAUAUAUCAGUUCUUCUCCGUGUGAAAGAAGACCAUGAUGGGGCAGAACCCUCUGGAAACUCGGUGUCAGCUAUAAAUCUUAUUAGGUUGGCUUCCAUGCUUGCUGAAAGUAAGGCUGAGCACUAUAAGCGAAAUGCAGAGCACCUUCUGGCUGUUUUUGAGAAAAGAUUGAAAGCGUUGCCUAUGGCGGUGCCCCUCAUGUGUUGUGCAGCAGAUAUGCUGCGUGUACCUUCCAGAAAGCAAGUGGUUGUGGUUGGAGAAAGGAAUUCUGAGAAAUUUGAAAGAAUGCUUGCAGCAGCACAUGCAUCAUAUGAUCCAAACAAAACGGUUCUUCAUAUAGAUCCCAACAACAAAGAAGAAAUGGAAUUUUGGGAAUAGAAUAACAGCAACAUUGCUCUGAUUACGAAAAAUAAGCAUGCAGCAAACAAGGUUGUAGCUCUUGUAUGCCAAAACUUCACUUGUAGUCCGCCUGUGACUGAUCAAUCCUCACUUGAUGCUUUACUAUACAAAAAAUCGUCCUCUUCAUCAACAUGAGAUAUCGGUUCUCACAAGUGGAUGUUAGCUAAAGCUUAGAAGCCAUAUUAUACACAACUUGUUGGUUCUGACUACUGUGUCAAAUAUUUUCUUCAGUGAUAUAGAGAUUAUGCUUGUCUUUUUACUCUCUAUGCCAGCAUUAUCUUUCAAAUUUGAUAUAGAAUGAUGAAAAUAUGUAUAUUUUUAUAGUUAAAGGUUGAAUAAAAUAGUUAUAUAUUAA